UGCUCUUUCUGCAUGGCUUUCCUGAGUUAUGGUACACUUGGCGUUUCCAAAUGAUCGCUGCUGCAAAUGCUGGCUACAGAGCUAUUGCACCCGAUUUUCGCGGGUACGGGUCGUCCGACCCGCCAGCCCAACCCGAGAAAGCCGCCUUUGAUGACUUCGUUUCUGAUAUGGCUGCUAUUCUUGAUGCUCUUCACAUUUCUAAGGUUUAAUGAAUUUUCUUGAAUAUUUUUGGUUAUUAUUGUGUUUUUUUUUAAUUUCGUGUUUAUUGUAGUAAUGGGUGUUACUUGUUAGUUAAUUUAAUGUGAAUAAUGUCUAGGUGUUUGUUUAAGUUACUGUUUUGGGUUUUGCCCUUUUUGGUGAUCAGGAAUAUUUUAGUGAAUUAUUAGAUCUUGUUAACUUUAGAGUAUUUUUUUACUAGACUAUUGACUAAUGUUUCAAUUUCUUGGGCAUAUAGUAUUGGAUGUUUGGGAUUACGGAAUCCAUCAUUUUUAGUUUGAUUGGAUCAAAUUAAAUUAGAAAUCCCGGGUAAAUUAGACAUUUAACUCGUUCCAAUUUGAUUGGAUUGAUUCAAGCUUGCAUUUCGGGUUUGGGCACUGCCCUGUGGUAGAUGAUUAAAUAAUAAAUAUGAGUUAUGAAUAAGAAAUACUGAGUGUUUUAUUAUCAAAAUAGUAAGGGGAUUGAUGAGGAUCCACAGACUUUAUAUAUUAAUGUUCACUUUUUGAUCAAGAGUGAUUCUAUAAAGAGUUUACUGAUGUGAAUAGUGAGACAUUUCAUUUGAAUAUUCUUUAUACUAUUCUAAAUUAAGUUUGUGUAUUAUCAUUUAGGUUUGGGUGGUACUGUGGUAGUUCCUACCCUCACCAUAUCUAAUUUGUUUGUUUCAAUGCUUUUGCAGCUAAGUAAAACUUAAGCACUAAAGAUUUUUAUAACCCAUCAAAUGCGAAAUAGGUUAUAGUUAAGUGAUCGUGAUUAUUUCAUUAGAAACAAUUAUUUCUUCUGUUAAAAAGUUUGUUUAGCCAGUGAAUCAAGGUACUUGAUUAGUAGUGUACCCUGUUAAAUCCAACUGGAUAUAGUGUACGUAAUCAACUUCCUGUCCUUCCCUUUUCUUGUUUAUUAAUACAUCACUACAAUCUUAGUUAAAUGCAAUUGGCUUUAGUAUUUAAUCGAAUAAAUGUCGUGUAUGAUAGUCAAAAAUAUUUAGAUCAAGAUGAAGUGUUUAGCAACCAUACCCUUUUUUCAGUAUUAGACAGGUACUCUGAAGCAAACUAAUGCAUGUAAGAUAAGUUAUUUUGAUAGAUUCCUUUUGUCUUUGGUCAAGUAUUUGCGAUUAGUUCGGAAGUAAAUCAAGGGCAGCCAUUUUUUUUGUGACAAUUCUCAGAUGUGACAGAGCAAGAAUAUUCACUAGUAAACAAACCUUUAACUGUUUAUAUCUGAUGCAGGAAUAACAUCGACAGAGCCGAUCGUUUGUUGAGUAGAUAAAAUGAUUGAGGCAAUUUUCAGUAAUAUCUGAUUCCUCUCACUGAAUACAGGUCUUUGUUAUUGGUCAAGAUUUUGGAGCCAUAGUUGCUUACGAGUUUGCCCUUCGCUAUGAAGAAAGGAUCCAUGGGAUGAUAACAUUGGGCUUGCCGUUUAUGGCACCAGGUUCCCUUGACUUCAAGAAUACCCUGCCUGAAGGCUUCUAUGUUACAAGAUGGCAGGUAACACUGUACUUUCAACCACUGCUUUUUUUAACAGUUUUUUGCACUUGCAAAACUGUAAUAUUUCUUGCGAAAUUAAAUACAGGAACCUGGUAGGGCUGAAGCUGACUUCGGCCGGCUUGACGCUAAAACUGUGUUACGAAACAUCUACAUCCUAUUUUCCAGCAGCGAAAUUCCAAUAGCUGCGGAAAACCAGGAGAUUAUGGAUUUGGUGAAGCCAUCUAAUCCUCUGCCCUCUUGGUUCACAGAGGAAGAUCUCGCAGUCUAUGGGGGAGCAUAUGACAAAUCUGGAUUCCAAACUGCACUGCAAGUUCCUUACAGGUGUGAUCAAUCAUCAAUUUAUUUUAGUUUUAUUAUUUGUAAAAUGUCUUCCCCCGUUUUAUGCAAGUGAUACUUACACCUACUUUAAUCUCUAUGAUAUUAGCCUCUUGCAGAAUAUACACACAGACCACUAUAUGUAGCAAUUGAGUUUAUAAUAGAAUUAUUACAAUGGACACAGAUAGUCUCAAGACCAAUCGGCUCUCUGCUUGGCAAUAAUUGAAGUAGGAUGAUAAGAAGAUUUUAGAAUAUUUGCAUUAAGGGCGAGAUGGGCAGAAUUUCUGAUCACGCGGUCUUUUAAAGGUCAUAUAAACUGAGAUUUAAGGACUAAGAGCGAUUAGCCAUAUGAUUACCUAAGCUGUAAUUUUAAGGAAUAUGAUGUAAAAUGUCACUCAAACGAUAUCCUAGUCAAUCCCUAAAAAGUUAAGAUGCCCACUUCAUUCCUUAUUCUUUGGUAAUGGCUAACCAUUCCUCAUUUUGUUUAUAAGAAUAAAAUAUCCCCUUCUCUUGUUUUCACACUCUGUCCCACCUUUUUCACAUUAUUUUUUUUUCUAAUAGAUAUUAAAUUUAAUUUUAUAAUAAUAAUAAGGAAGACAAAUAGCCAAUAGGGAUAGUUCCAUUCAAUAUAUUUUUCCAUUUUGUUAUAUUAAAUUAUAUUAUUAGCAGUUGGCGGUGUCUCUUUAUUUUGUCCAAGUAUGUUUGAAUGUGCUUAAAGUAUUUUGUCUACGAAUAUUCUUUUGUUACAGAGAUUUUCUUUCGAAGAAAUACACACAGAAGCCCAGUACACCAGAUCCAAGAAUUGAUGCCCCUGCCCUAUUUGUAGUUGGGGAGAAGGACUAUGUAUUCAAAUUGCCCAAUAUGGAGAACUACAUAAGGAGCGGAGCCGUUAAAAUGUAUGUCCCGAACUUGGAAAUCGAGUACAUACCUGAAGGAUCCCAUUUUGUCUCAGAGCAAUUUCCUGACAAAGUGAAUGAGCUAAUCCUGUCAUUCAUCAGUAAAAGCAUUCAGAAAUGAUACUUGAAGACAUUGAUGCAGAAACCAAGUCUAAAAAUUUGUCGAGGUUGUGUCGAAAUAAUUAAAAUACUGUUUGAUGCCGUGUAAGCUAAUAUCCUAUAGUUACAGUUCUCCUCUGCUGCUGUUAUUAUUACAUUUCUAUAUCAUGUAUAAGGAAUUGCUAAGCAUGUUAAACACAUCUCAUUGCAAGAGUUAUGUGCAACUUGGUGUAGUGUUAUGUUGUGACUGUUUUAAAGCGAAGGUUUUUAUACAAGCCUCCAUUCCGGAUAAUGGUUCUAUCUAAACUAAUGUUUCUUUCAUCCUAUUAGGAUGUAGCCAUUUAUGGUUAGUCUCAUUGAAAUGAAUGCGAUUUGGCAGGUAUGAAAUAAAAUUCGGUGAAUAAGCUUAAGUGUGCAAUGCAAGAUGGAGCAUUUGAGAAAAUUAGUUUGAUCAUUAUGCAUUGAUAGUUCCACUAGUGCUAUGUUUAGGUUUCUUUAGAUUGCUUUAUGUUAAAUAUAAUGUUGGAUGUUCAACAUUUACUUUGACAUAAUCAUGGUUACAGUAUUACACAGUUUGAGGGAGACUAAUGUUUGAUAUUCGAGUUCUUCUGUAUACUAUUUUCUAAAAGAAAGAUACGGAAGUUGUGGACUUGGUGAAGCCAUCUAAAUCAUCUACCCUCUUGGUUUACUCAGGGAGAUGCUUCAUAUGACCAAUCUGAUUUUCUGAACUGCCUAGCAAGUCUUGUAUAUUGUGUUUGGCUUGGGCAAAUGAAAUGAAGUUUAAACUGAGUUAUAAAUAAGGGUUUAUAAAUUUUGUUUCUUGCGUCAUUCCAUUCCUUACGCUCUAUAUUAGAUAUCGCACCCCCAAUAAGGAAUGUUUUGUUUCUUAUCAUCCUCAAUUUUUAUUUCAUUCUCCCUAAUUAAACACAAUAAAAAAAGCUGUGUUCAUUUAGAUGGAGGGAAUAGAGAGAGAAUGAGAUUUUUAUUCUUAAUCGGAUGUGGAAAGAGUAUCAGUUAAUUGGUCCCGCAAGAAUUGCAAGUAUGGUUAUAUAUGAUUGCAAGUAUAGUUGCAUAUGGUUUGCAUACAAUAUUUUUUUAAAUAUUUUCGAAAAUUUGAUAUUUUUACAAAAUAUUUAAAAAAGAUGUAGUAUUUUAUAAAAAAAAUUCGGACUUGGGUAUUUAUGAAAACCCCCCUUAUUUUUAAUAGUUUUUUUAAAAAUUAUAUUUAUGAUUGCAGAUAUGAUUGCUACUAGUUGGAUAUAUGGUUGCAAAGGUGUAAACCACAUUUUGUUAAAUAUUUGGUAUUUUUGUAUUUUUGUUUUAAGAAAAUUGUAUUUUUAUAAUUAAAAAAAAUAUAUAAUAUUAUUAUAAAAGGUUUAUAGAUUUGGAUAAUUAUGAAAAAAAGUCUAAAAUAAUUUAUAAUCUAAAAUAUUUGACUUUUAGGCAGUGUUGUAAAAAGCGGGAGUCGGACUUAGUCGGCAAAGGCACCGUCUAGCGAUUAAUCGGAUAAUCGGGAAUUAAUCAGAUCAUUAAUCGGAAUUAAUUUAAUAUUAUUUUUUAAACUAGAUAUAUAUAUAUUGGGUCCUACUCCAGUACAAACUCCUUAUGAUACAAACAUACAAACCAAUGAUUAUGAUAAUAAUAUUUAGUGAUUAGCAGUGCUUAGUGUCACUAAACUCUACCAAUCCCAUCUCCACCAACUCCACCUCUUUGAGCUCCGCUUCCAUCGUCAUCUCCAUUAUCACAAGUUCACAACCUCCACCUCCAUGCCGCUUCUCCGUAACCACCAUCUCCAUGUCCACUUAUAUGUUCUAUCACCACCAAAUUCAUUCCAUCGUCCCCUCCACCUUCACCACCGUCACCUCCAGCCUCACCCCUGUCGCCUCCAGCCUCACCUCCGUCGCCUGAAACCACAUCCCCCAUCCCAUUGUCACUGUCACCAGGUUCUGUUCAGUACUCGCUGUUUCACUAAUUUCUAAAGUGAUUUAUAUGUUCUAUCACCACCAAAUUCAUUCCAUCGUCCCCUCCACCUUCACCACCGUCACCUCCAGCCUCACCCCUGUCGCCUCCAGCCUCACCUCCGUCGCCUGAAACCACAUCCCCCAUCCCAUUGUCACUGUCACCAGGUUCUGUUCAGUACUCGCUGUUUCACUAAUUUCUAAAGUGAUAAUCACUAAUUUAUACAAUACAAAUCACUAAUUGGCACAACGAAAAUCACUAAAAUAUAUAUCAGAAAAUCCUGAAUUCUGUAGCAACUUUAAUCUCUGACGGGACAAAAGGGAAUAGCACAGCCUCUGUCACUACCAUUGCACCACCACCAUUGACACCUCUUCACCAACAUCACCACUAUCAAAACGUAGCAUCAUCAAACACCAAAAGCACCACAGCUUCAUCACUAAAUUAUAUCUAUAUGUGUCUAUCUAUCUCGAUGGGAACAAAAUUCAGUUGUAACAAGCUAUAUUGAUUUACAGCGUGACAAGUUGAGAGAAACACAGAGGUGAGAGAGACGAGAAGAGAGAGAGAGAGAGAGUAAAUCUGAGUAAAAAAUGAGAGAAUGAACUACCGUGUAUGCACUGAGUUAUGUUAUUUUUAUAUAUGGUUUGUAGUUUGUAUUUUAAAAUUGGUUUGUAUUUGAGCACUCCCCUAUAUAUAUUUACAUUUACAAUAGAUUUAUGACAUAUAAUUCUAUAAAUUAAAAAAAUCAAUAAUUUUAUCCACAAAAUAUCUAUUUUCUAAAUAUUUAGGUCAAUUAAUAGUGCAAUGUGUCUUAUAAUUAAAUUUUAAUUUUUAAAUUUUCUUUACUAUGAUUUUCAAUUUUUGUCGAUUUACCAUCUUUUGACCGAUUUUUACCAUUAAUCCCGUAUUUGACCGAUUUUUCACAAAAAACGUUUUUCACCGAUUAACGCUUAAUCGAGACGGUGGCCGACCGAAUAACAAUUAAUCGACGAUUAAUCCCGAUUAAUCGCCGAUUUUUAGAACACUGCUUUUAGGUCACAUAUCUGAAGAUUAAUUUUAUUAAUUUAUAUUCUUUGAUAGAUUAUACUCCCUCCGUCCCUUUUUAGUUAUCACAUUUCUAUUUUUGUUGGUCAAAUUGACUAAGUUUUGACCAAAUAUUGUAAGUCACUCUUUUAUUAAUUUAAAAAACUGAAAAAUACAUCUUAUAAUAGAUUAAAAUUUAUUUCCGGUGACAAUUUUUUUUUAUUUUUUCACUUGAUAAAAAUAUUAAUAAAUUCUAGUCAAAUUUUGGUCAAUUUGACCGGCACAUUCAAAUGUGACAACUAAAAAGGAACGGAGGAAGUAAUAGGUCGAAGUAGAAGAGUGUUGUAAAAAGCGGGAAUCGGACUUAAUCGGUGAAGUCACGGAACAGAGAUUAAUCGGUGAUUAAUAGAAUUGAUCGGGGAUUAAUCGGAUUAAUCAAUGAUUAAUCGGAAAUUUAAUCAGUUCGGCGAGUUACGGAACAGGGAUUAAUCGGUGACUAAUCGUGAUUAAUCAUCGACUUUUAGAACAGAGAGUAGAACAGAGAAACUGUACUAACUUAUAAGUCCAGUUAUCCAAACACAAAAUAAUUUUUAAGUCACGAUAUCCAAACACUUUUUAUAAUUUAUAAGUCGAAACCAACUUUUCACUUAUAAUCCGUUUCUUUAUUUUAAGUAAUAAAUCAUUUCUUUUAAUCCCAGCCAAACGGCCUCAAUAUAAAUUAGAAUUUGAAUGAUGUAUUUUUAUUAAUAUUUUUUUUCCUAAAAUAUAGCGUGAGAUGUAGGGUUCAUGUCACAGCGGCACGGGCAUGCCAGACUGGGCAUGCCCUAGGCUUGCCUUUUGUCCAUUUGACAUGCUUUUUUACUAAUUUUUUAUAUAAAUAAUAAAUAUUAUAUCUUAUAAAUAUUGAAAAUUUUAAAUAUAGUCCAACUUCAUAGUUAAAUAUUAGAUAAACUACUAAUAUAAGUUACCACUGUACUAAGUUCUGUUGUUAAUAUUUACUAACUUUUGUUAUAUUUGUAAGUGCACCUUAGUAUCAAUCCUGUAAUGAUGCAACAAUUUUUGUUAUAUUUAAUGAAAAAUGGCAUGCCAUUUCUCGUAAAAUACAUGCUUGUAGAGUUGUAGCCAUGCCAGGGAGAACUCCCGUGACCCUAGUGAGAUGGAAUAAAUAACGUGUGAUUAGAAUUUAAUGAACCCCGAGACAUUAGUUUAACGAGAUUCCCGAGGUGAACCGGUGGACCCCACCUGAACUCCUUAAACAACACACGCUCCUCAGGAUCAGCUAGCACACCAUCUUUGUUUCUUGAACUCAGAGAAAAUGGAGAAGAUCGAGCACACAUUCAUCGAAGCAAACGGGCUAAAACACCAUGUAGCUCAAGUCGGAUCAUCAUCCGGGUCACCCACUACACUGCUCUUUCUGCAUGGCUUUCCAGAGUUAUGGUACACUUGGCGUUUCCAAAUGAUCGCUGCUGCAAAUGCUGGCUACAGAGCUAUUGCACCCGAUUUUCGCGGGUACGGGUCGUCUGACCCGCCAGCCCAACCCGAGAAAGCCACCUUUGAUGACUUCGUUUCUGAUAUGGCUGCUAUUCUUGAUGCUCUUCACAUUUCUAAGGU
rnacentral:lncRNA from 1 species